CAGGUGAUAGCCCUGUAGGCGAAAACAGUAUGAAAGAACUAGGUGUACGACAAGUAGGGCGGGACACGUGAAAUCCUGUCUGAAGAUGGGGGGACCAUCCUCCAAGGCUAAAUACUCGUGAUCGACCGAUAGUGAACCAGUACCGUGAGGGAAAGGCGAAAAGAACCCCGGGAGGGGAGUGAAAUAGAUCCUGAAACCGCAUGCAUACAAACAGUCGGAGCCUCGUAAGGGGUGACGGCGUACCUUUUGUAUAAUGGGUCAGCGACUUACGUUCAGUAGCAAGCUUAACCGUAUAGGGCAGGCGUAGCGAAAGCGAGUCCGAAUAGGGCGUUCAGUUGCUGGGCGUAGACCCGAAACCAGGUGAUCUAUCCAUGGCCAGGAUGAAGGUGCGGUAACACGUACUGGAGGUCCGAACCCACUAACGUUGAAAAGUUAGGGGAUGAGCUGUGGAU
rnacentral:rRNA from 1 species